GCCAGCAGCCAUAUAACCUGCAACUCACAACUGGCAACCCACUGAAGCUAAGCAGGUGUGAGCCUGGUCAGUACCUGGAUGGGAGACCUCCUGGGAAAAACUAAGGUUGCUGCUGGAA
ensembl:rRNA 5S_rRNA 5S ribosomal RNA